rnacentral:lncRNA from 1 species
CUGGUUCUUUGAAACUAAGAAUAAACACAAAACUUUGUUAGAAUUUAUUAAAGAAGCAAAAAGAUUUUAAAAUCCUUAUAAUGGAUUGUAAAGAAUAGUAUUUAAAUUACAUUUCAAAUUCUUAGCUAAGUAACAAGAGAAUCACUGGGACUUUGCAACUCUUCAUAAUUUUCUCACAAAAUCAGAGCAAUUGAGAUGGCUCAGUACUUUCAAGGAAAUGCUGGAACAAUGUAUUAGGCGAACUGCUUUUUUUCCUUUUUUUUUGGUCUUUUGCUAUUUUAUAGUUUGCUUAAGAAACUUAAGAACAAGUGACUGGGGCCGGGCGCAGUGGCUCACCCCUGUAAUCCCAGCACUUUGGGAGGCCGAGGGGGGUGGAUCACGAGGUCAGGAGAUCAAAACCAUCCUGGCUAACACGGUGAAACCCUGUAUCUACUAAAAAUACAAAAAAUUAGCCAGGUGUGGUGGCGGGUGCCUGUAGUCCCAGCUACUCGGGAGGCUGAGGCAGGAGAAUGGCGUGAACCCGGGAGGCGGAGCUUGCAGUGAGCCGAGACCGCGCCACUGCACUCCAGCCUGGGCGACAGAGCGAGACUCCAUCUCAAAAAACGCGUACAGCAAAAAAGGGUGCCGUUACAUAGGUCAUUGGAUGCUAUCACUGGAAUGUCUGUUGAGAAAUAAACGUUUUACCAUCUGUAGACACAUGAGGGCGCUUUAAGCAGGCAGCGUGGGAUGCAGCGUGCAAAGGGAGGGAGGGAGGAAGAAAGCUUUGUCAAAGGUAGCCUGAAAUUCAGGCAUCUCCCUAUCUGGUUGCGGACCUGUGCCUGCGUCGGGGUGGGGAGCACCGAAUCGAUUUAGGAAAAGAACUGCGCAGGCCCUUGAUCCCCACUUCUCAUGGUGAAAUCAAGUUUGAGGUUCAAAUCAAGGCUUUCAGAGAGUCAGAAUUUCCAAAUCUGUUACUUUGUCAAAAAACUGCUUUUAAUCUGGUAACGUUUCCCAUUAACCUCAUUUGAUGUCCUUCCCUAAGAAUGUUUAAUUAGAAUCUCCUUUUCUGAUGCCAGCAGAAUUGAACUGCUUGUGAACUGAGCUUUAAAUUGGACAUGUUGUGUUUCUAGUCCUCCACUGAGGGUGAAUUUUGCAGCAAUUUGCGUUUAACUUUCUGUGUCUUGCUGCAUUAAGCACUUCUAGAAUAGGAUCAACAGGACAGAGCUGGAGUAUGCAGAGAUUCUCAAAAGAAAUGUAAAUUUGGAAUGUAAUUGGGAACCCAACAGGGAGGUGUGGAUUUCACGGAUGAAGUCUUGGUGGAAGAUCUAAGUGCCACAAUGUGAGUUUGAAGUUAUUCCAUCUUCAUAAGGAUUAAACUAUUUUAACCUCUACUAGGCAAAUGUUUAAGAGAAUAAUCUGACUACUGUGCAUUAAGUAGAGAGAUUAGAGUUUAAAACACUUUAAAUGAAUGGCAGAAUAGGACUCAGUUCUCUAGGAUCACACCAAUAGUUCCACCAGACAGAUGAAGAUAUGUAAUACAGUGUUUAAGCGGCCUGACAUUGGCACUAAAAUAUUGAAAUUACUGUUUCAAAAAUGCAAACUAAUAAAUGCUUACAUGCCCAGGGUCUAUAAGAAAGGCAAAAACCAGCCAGGCGAGGUGGCUCAUGCCUGUAAUUCUAACACUUUGGGAGGCCAAAGCAGGAAGAUCACUUGAGCUCCGGAGUUCGAGACCAGUCUGGGCACCAUAGUGAGACCUCGUUUCUACUAAAAAUUUAAAAAGUAGCUGGGACGUUGUGGUGCACACCUGUAGUCCUCGCAACUUGGGAGGCUGAGGAUGGCUUGAGCCCAGGAGUUCAAGGCUAUAGUGAGCCAUGAUCAUGCACUCCAGCCUAGGUGAUAGAGCAAGACCCUGUCUCAAAAACAUGCACUCCAGCCUAGGUGAUAGAGCAAGACCCUGUCUCAAAAAAAAAAAAAAAAAGGAAAAAAUAUUGGAAAAAAUGUGAUCAGGUCUGAGCACUUUUUAGCAUUCUUUUGUUUCUUUUCAGUGACAUGGGAGUGUUUGCUCUGUGCUCAGGAAUGUGUUUGGGCUUUCUUAACCCUAAGGGAGUGAGUCGAGGUCAAGAGUGGUUGGGUUCAACUCUGACAAAGGCAGGUGAACUCCUGACCUGGCAAAUUCAUUUUUUUCCCUGUUCCAAGAAUUACUUGACUCAUCUUUAAAGCGGUCACAUUUACACUGACAUUUUUCAGUGGUGAGCAAAAUCUUGCUACAUAAAAAACUGUGCAAAAUCCUUCCGUCUUGUAAUAUAUGAAUUCAGGGCCUCAGAUGGGGUAAACAGGGCCUACAGUGCCGAACAUUUAUCUUUCUUAUUUGAACGAACAACUCUUCCUUCCUUCCUGGAAUGUGACUUAACGUUAAGAAUUUCUAUUAAAUCUCUGGGUACACCCAGAGACCUCAGAAAGCUCUCUACAGAGAGAGCAAACAUCCUCCUGUACUUGGCAAAAGAAGAAACAGAUGCUUGCGUGGCUUGCAGGCUCAGCUGCUCAGGGCCGCUCUGUGGAAGAGAACCAGUGAACCUGGGUUGCCAGAAAAAAUGUUAAUGUUGAGUUGAGAAUAAGCAUUUGCACUUGUGAGUAGUCAACAGAUAUGUAGGACAUGUGAGUGCAACGGAAGCGGCACCCAAACUGGACUGCCCUGUAGUCAAAGUUAGGGGAACUGGGGCUAUUUUGGGUUUGGGCCAUUGGGUAUCCAUUUUCCCUUUCUGAGAAGUACCCCUUCUCCAUCUAGCUCAGGAACUCUGGGAAGAUGGCCACACCCAGGCUCCAGGGGUGGGCUCUAAUUAGUCUAUGCAAAUUAGUUCAUCCCAUUCACUUCUCUCCCCCCUUUCAUGAUUGGUUUAAGAGACAGGCCUACCAGCAAUGGUAUGCAAGACCUUUGCUGGGAUUUCUGAGAAAGACACUUGCUCUGUGUAGAAGCUACUAGGAUAACUUCUCUCCUCUGGACAGUGUGGAAAAUAGACUUGAGUCUUAAGAGCAUGGUGGCCCUUUGCCACAAUUCUGAAUGCAAUGUCAACCCAAGGAGGAAAGGAGAGCUAAGAUAAUUAAGAGAUGGGAGCUGGCCGGGUACGGUGGCUCAUGCCUGUAAUUCCGGCAGUUUCGGAGGCCAAAGCAGGUGGAUCACCUGAGGUCAGGGGUUUGAGACCAGCCUGGACAACAUGGUGAAAUCCUGUCUGUACUAAUAAUAUAAAAAUUAGCAGGGCGUGGUGGCACAUGCCUGUAAUCCCAGCUACUCGGAAGGCCGGGCAGGAGAAUGGCUUGAACCCAGGAGGCGGAGGUUGCAGUGAGCCGAGAUCAUGCCAUUGCACUCCACCUGGGUGACAAAGCAAGACUGUCUCAAAAAAAGAAAAAGAAAAAAGAAAAAAAAAAAAGAGAUGGGAGCUGAAAUCCUGAUCAAAUUGGACCAACUGGACUUUUCACUCACUGAACCAAUAAAUUCUUAUUGUUGAAGCUAGGCUCAGCUGAGGUGUCAAAUGCAGCAUAUUUUAAUUUGUUUCAAAUAAAGCAAUAUAUGUAUAUAUAUUUUUUCAGAAAAACACCAGAUGUUAAAUUCUACAAAAGCGCAUGUGUCCUCAGCAGAUCAUGUUUAGCUGAUUAUUAGAAUUAGUAAAAA